rnacentral:misc_RNA from 1 species
UCUAUUUGGCCUUUAAAAGGUGAAGUGGAUGAUUUAAUUUUGUUGGGAUCAUCAUCAUAACCGUCACUGAUGACCUUUUUCUUGUUUGGGCUGCUACUUCCAGUGUUAGUUGAUGGUGAGGGAUCAUCAUCUAGUAAUUUCUCAGGCAAAGUUUGCUGCUGUUUUUUCCUUGUAGUUUCUGCUUCUUUCUCCGAUUGCUUCUUCUCACGCUUCAUCAUUAGGGUUUUGAAUCGGCGCUUUACAGUUUGGCACACAUUACAUGUGCACGUCUGCUUGUGUUUGGGGCCCUUUCCACUUGGGGGCUGAAUGCACACAAUGCAGGAGCAGCCAGGUCUAUGUCUAGGGUGCUUUGUGGUUGCCUGGGAUGAAGUUGG